GUUGAGGGGAUGAGAAAGAGUUGGGUAUCAAAUCAGUAGAGAGAGCAGUAUUCUGAACCAAGGGGAAGUGCUUUAACAAAAUCUACCAGUCCUCGAUGUCUAAACAUGGUGCCACCAGCCUACAAGUAUUAAUGAAUAUUGGGAAUGCCUCACACAGUCACUAGCUCACCAGUACCCACAAAUGACAGAGAACUCAGCCCAAUGUAGGGGUUAAUGGUGCUUAGAAAGUUCCUGGAUAGUAAAAGACACUAUUUCCUUUCUUCCAAGUUCUCAAGAGAUUUGCUGAUUCAAUGGCAUCUUUAUUUCCUCUAAUAUCUCCUUCAGUAUUUGAAAGGAAAUUAAGCAGAUACAAAGAGGAAAAGUGCUGAAUCAGCAAGGGAUUUGGUAAAACUGAUUAAGAUGACAGGCAAAAGCAAAGAAGUUGGAACCCGGCUCCAAGAACUCCAUCCAUCCCUGCUUUACUCACUGUACUUCUCUUCAGCAGACCUGAUUUUGGAAAAGAAAACAGGAAAAGAGAAAACAAAGGAAUACACCCGUUAGAAUUAUUUGCCGUGAUGUGGAGCUCACUGAGUGAGCUCAGGGUUGGUCGCACUCCACAGAUAACAUUGACAGUGAACCUUCUCCUCACAUAGCUAUUGGUAAUUGCAGGCCUCAUGCUGUUGAUUGGUUUCAGAAUCCCAAAGUGUGCUUCUGACUGCCACUUAACCAGACAUUGCACGGGUCAGU
rnacentral:lncRNA from 1 species